rnacentral:tRNA from 1 species
GGAGAGAUGGCUCAGCGGUUAAGAGCACGGAUUGCUCUUCCUGAGGUCCAGAGUUCAACUCUCAGCAUCCACG